GACGAACGCUGGCGGCGUGCUUAACACAUGCAAGUCGAACGGAAAGGCCCUGCUUUUGCGGGGUGCUCGAGUGGCGAACGGGUGAGUAACACGUGAGUAACCUGCCCUUGACUUUGGGAUAACUUCAGGAAACUGGGGCUAAUACCGGAUAGGAGCUCCUGCUGCAUGGUGGGGGUUGGAAAGUUUCGGCGGUUGGGGAUGGACUCGCGGCUUAUCAGCUUGUUGGUGGGGUAGUGGCUUACCAAGGCUUUGACGGGUAGCCGGCCUGAGAGGGUGACCGGCCACAUUGGGACUGAGAUACGGCCCAGACUCCUACAGGAGGCAGCAGUGGGGAGUAUUGCACAAUGGGCGGAAGCCUGAUGCAGAAACGCCGCGUGCGGGAUGACGGCCUUCGGGUUGUGAACCGCUUUCGCCUGUGACGAAGCGUGAGUGACGGUAAUGGGUAAAGAAGCACCGGCUAACUACGUG
rnacentral:rRNA from 1 species